AGUGAACGCUGGCGGUAGGCCUAACACAUGCAAGUCGAACGGCAGCACAGUAAGAGCUUGCUCUUACGGGUGGCGAGUGGCGGACGGGUGAGGAAUACAUCGGAAUCUACUUUUUCGUGGGGGAUAACGUAGGGAAACUUACGCUAAUACCGCAUACGACCUACGGGUGAAAGCAGGGGAUCUUCGGACCUUGCGCGAUUGAAUGAGCCGAUGUCGGAUUAGCUAGUUGGCGGGGUAAAGGCCCACCAAGGCGACGAUCCGUAGCUGGUCUGAGAGGAUGAUCAGCCACACUGGAACUGAGACACGGUCCAGACUCCUACGGGAGGCAGCAGUGGGGAAUAUUGGACAAUGGGCGCAAGCCUGAUCCAGCCAUACCGCGUGGGUGAAGAAGGCCUUCGGGUUGUAAAGCCCUUUAGUUGGGAAAGAAAAGCAGCAGGUUAAUACCCCGCUGUUCUGACGGUACCCAAAGAAUAAGCACCGGCUAACUUCGU
rnacentral:rRNA from 1 species